rnacentral:rRNA from 1 species
AAAUAGGUGCCCGUACCGCAAACCGACACAGGUAGUCAAGAUGAGAAUUCUAAGGUGAGCGAGCGAACUCUCGUUAAGGAACUCGGCAAAAUGACCCCGUAACUUCGGGAGAAGGGGUGCUCUUUAGGGUUAACGCCCAGAAGAGCCGCAGUGAAUAGGCCCAAGCGACUGUUUAUCAAAAACACAGGUCUCUGCUAAACCGUAAGGUGAUGUAUAGGGGCUGACGCCUGCCCGGUGCUGGAAGGUUAAGAGGAGUGGUUAGCUUCUGCGAAGCUACGAAUCGAAGCCCCAGUAAACGGCGGCCGUAACUAUAACGGUCCUAAGGUAGCGAAAUUCCUUGUCGGGUAAGUUCCGACCCGCACGAAAGGCGUAACGAUUUGGGCACUGUCUCAACGAGAGACUCGGUGAAAUCAUAGUACCUGUGAAGAUGCAGGUUACCCGCGACAGGACGGAAAGACCCCGUGGAGCUUUACUGUAGCCUGAUAUUGAAAUUCGGCACAGCUUGUACAGGAUAGGUAGGAGCCUUUGAAACGUGAGCGCUAGCUUACGUGGAGGCGCUGGUGGGAUACUACCCUAGCUGUGUUGGCUUUCUAACCCGCACCACUUAUCGUGGUGGGAGACAGUGUCAGGCGGGCAGUUUGACUGGGGCGGUCGCCUCCUAAAAGGUAACGGAGGCGCUCAAAGGUUCCCUCAGAAUGGUUGGAAAUCAUUCAUAGAGUGUAAAGGCAUAAGGGAGCUUGACUGCGAGACCUACAAGUCGAGCAGGGUCGAAAGACGGACUUAGUGAUCCGGUGGUUCCGCAUGGAAGGGCCAUCGCUCAACGGAUAAAAGCUACCCCGGGGAUAACAGGCUUAUCUCCCCCAAGAGUUCACAUCGACGGGGAGGUUUGGCACCUCGAUGUCGGCUCAUCGCAUCCUGGGGCUGUAGUCGGUCCCAAGGGUUGGGCUGUUCGCCCAUUAAAGCGGUACGCGAGCUGGGUUCAGAACGUCGUGAGACAGUUCGGUCCCUAUCCGUCGUGGGCGUAGGAAAUUUGAGAGGAGCUGUCCUUAGUACGAGAGGACCGGGAUGGACAUACCUCUGGUGUACCAGUUGUCGUGCCAACGGCAUAGCUGGGUAGCUAUGUGUGGACGGGAUAAGUGCUGAAAGCAUCUAAGCAUGAAGCCCCCCUCAAGAUGAGAUUUCCCAACUUCGGUUAUAAGAUCCCUCAAAGAUGAUGAGGUUAAUAGGUUCGAGAUGGAAGCAUGGUGACAUGUGGAGCUGACGAAUACUAAUCGAUCGAAGACUUAAUCAA